GGAUGAACGCUGGCGGCGUGCCUAACACAUGCAAGUCGAGCGAUCUUCUUCGGAAGGGAGCGGCGGACGGGUGAGUAACGCGUGGGUAACCUGCCCUGUACACACGGAUAACAUACCGAAAGGUAUGCUAAUACGGGAUAACAUAAGAAAGUCGCAUGGAUUUCUUAUCAAAGCUUUUGCGGUACAGGAUGGACCCGCGUCUGAUUAGCUAGUUGGUAAGGUAACGGCUUACCAAGGCGACGAUCAGUAGCCGACCUGAGAGGGUGAUCGGCCACAUUGGAACUGAGACACGGUCCAAACUCCUACGGGAGGCAGCAGUGGGGAAUAUUGCACAAUGGGCGAAAGCCUGAUGCAGCAACGCCGCGUGAGCGAUGAAGGCCUUCGGGUCGUAAAGCUCUGUCCUCAAGGAAGAUAAUGACGGUACUUGAGGAGGAAGCCCCGGCUAACUACGUGCCAGCAGCCGCGGUAAUACGUAGGGGGCUAGCGUUAUCCGGAAUUACUGGGCGUAAAGGGUGCGUAGGCGGUCUUUCAAGUCAGAAGUGAAAGGCUACGGCUCAACCGUAGUAAGCUUUUGAAACUGUAAGACUUGAGUGCAGGAGAGGAGAGUGGAAUUCCUAGUGUAGCGGUGAAAUGCGUAGAUAUUAGGAGGAACGCCAGUUGCGAAGGCGGC
rnacentral:rRNA from 1 species